CAUGGGCGAAGCCUGAUCCAGCCAUGCCGCGUGUGUGAUGAAGGCCUUCGGGUUGUAAACCUCUUUUCUUGGGGAAGAAGGGGAUUGGUCUCCUACGGGAUUGUCUUGACCUUUCCCAUGCAAUAACCCCCGGUUACAACUGUGCCCGCAGCCGCGGUAAUCA
rnacentral:rRNA from 1 species